rnacentral:rRNA from 1 species
UGACCAGACUCCUACGGGAGGCAGCAGUGGGGAAUAUUGGGCAAUGGGCGCAAGCCUGACCCAGCAACGCCGCGUGAAGGAAGAAGGCUUUCGGGUUGUAAACUUCUUUUCUCAGGGACGAAGCAAGUGACGGUACCUGAGGAAUAAGCUCCGGCUAAAUACGUGCCAGCAGCCGCGGUAAUACGUAUGGAGCAAGCGUUAUCCGGAUUUACUGGGUGUAAAGGGAGCGUAGGCGGCCUGCCAAGUCUGAUGUGAAAUACCGGGGCUCAACCCCGGGGCUGCAUUGGAAACUGGCAGGCUGGAGUGUCGGAGAGGCAGGCGGAAUUCCUAGUGUAGCGGUGAAAUGCGUAGAUAUUAGGAGGAACACCAGUGGCGAAGGCGGCCUGCUGGACGAUGACUGACGCUGAGGCUCGAAAGCGUGGGGAGCAAACAGGAUUAGAUACCCCCGUAC